GUGGAUUAGAUACCCGGGUAGUCCUAGCUAUAAACGAUGGAUACUAGGUGUUGGUGGUCCUAACCCCAUCAGUGCCGAAGCAAACGCGUUAAGUAUCCCGCCUGGGGACUACGGCCGCAAGGUUAAAACUCAAAGGAAUUGACGGGGGCCCGCACAAGCAGCGGAGCGUGUGGUUUAAUUCGAUGCUACACGAAGAACCUUACCCAGGUUUGACAUGCAAGUAGUAGUGAAGCGAAAGUGGAACGACCCUUCGGGGAGCUUGCACAGGUGCUGCACGGCUGUCGACAACU
rnacentral:rRNA from 1 species